AAUCUUCCACAAUGGACGAAAGUCUGAUGGAGCAACGCCGCGUGAGCGAAGAAGGUCUUCGGAUCGUAAAGCUCUGUUGUAAGGGAAGAACACGUACGGGAGUCACUACCCGUACCUUGACGGUACCUUAUCAGAAAGCCACGGCUACCUACGUUCCAGCAGCCGCGGUAAUACGUAGGUGGCAAGCGUUGACCGGAAUUAUUGGGCGUAAAGCGCGCGCAGGCGGUCCUUUAAGUCUGAUGUGAAAGUCCACGGCUCAACCGUGGAGGGUCAUUGGAAACUGGAGGACUUGAGUACAGAAGAGGAAAGCGGAAUUCCACGUGUAGCGGUGAAAUGCGUAGAGAUGUGGAGGAACACCAGUGGCGAAGGCGGCUUUCUGGUCUGUAACUGACGCUGAGGCGCGAAAGCGUGGGGAGCAAAAAG
rnacentral:rRNA from 1 species